UACGUAGGGUGCAAGCGUUAAUCGGAAUUACUGGGCGUAAAGCGUGCGCAGGCGGUGAUGUAAGACAGUUGUGAAAUCCCCGGGCUCAACCUGGGAACUGCAUCUGUGACUGCAUCGCUGGAGUGCGGCAGAGGGGGAUGGAAUUCCGCGUGUAGCAGUGAAAUGCGUAGAUAUGCGGAGGAACACCGAUGGCGAAGGCAAUCCCCUGGGCCUACACUGACGCUCAUGCACGAAAGCGUGGGGAGCAAACAGG
rnacentral:rRNA from 1 species